rnacentral:lncRNA from 1 species
GCCUAGCAUGUCUUGACUAAAACCAAAACCUUAAAUGAGGAUGCUAAAAUUCUCCAAAAUGUAUUUUAACAGGAACUAGCUUUAGGGGAAGGAAGAAAGCCAACUGCUCAGGAAAGAGGGUUCACUCAGCCUGUGUAACGUUCAAAGAGAGAACACGAAAUCCUUCCUCUCAGGUUCUUCCUCAGGUUGGUGUGGAGGAUCUUUCACUGUU